rfam:Paenibacillus sp. DMB20 mira_8, whole genome shotgun sequence.
GGGGCCUUAGCUCAGCUGGGAGAGCGCAUCGCUGGCAGCGAUGAGGUCAGGGGUUCGAUCCCCCUAGGCUCCA